AACGAACGCUGGCGGCAUGCCUAACACAUGCAAGUCGAACGAGACCUUCGGGUCUAGUGGCGCACGUGUGCGUAACGCGUGGGAACCUGCCCUUAGGUUCGGAAUAACUCCCCGAAAGGGGUGCUAAUACCGGAUAAUGUCUUCGGACCAAAGAUUUAUCGCCUUUGGAUGGGCCCGGGUUGGAUUAGCUAGUUGGGAGGGUAAAAGCAUAUCAAGGCGACGAUACAUAGCUGGUCUGAGAGGAUGAUCUGCCACACUGGGACUGAGACACGGCCCAGACUCCUAGGGGAGGCAGGAGUGGGGAAUAUUGGAAAAGGGGGGAAAGCAUGAUCCAGCAAUGACGGGUGAGUGAUGAAGGGCUUAGGGUUGUAAAGCUCUUUUACACGGGACGAUAAUGACAGUACCGGGAGAAUAAGCACCGGCUAACUCCGUG
rnacentral:rRNA from 1 species